rnacentral:rRNA from 1 species
CUGCAGUUAACGAAUCGCCUUAAGUUGAUCAUGGCUCAGGACGAACGCUGGCGGCGUGCCUAACACAUGCAAGUCGAACGGGACCAGGGCAACUCUGGUUCAGUGGCGGACGGGUGCGUAACACGUGAGGAACAUGACCUUCGGCGGGGGAUAGCCGGCCCAACGGCCGGGUAAUACCGCGUACGACCACUCUGGGACAUCCCUAGGUGGUGAAAGCAGCAAUGCGCCGAUGGAGUGCCUCGCGGCCUAUCAGCUAGUUGGUGAGGUAACGGCUCACCAAGGCGACGACGGGUAGCUGGUCUGAGAGGAUGGCCAGCCACAUUGGGACUGAGACACGGCCCAGACUCCUACGGGAGGCAGCAGUGGGGAAUAUUGCGCAAUGGACGAAAGUCUGACGCAGCGACGCCGCGUGUGGGAUGACGGUCUUCGGAUUGUAAACCACUGUCGGGAGGGACGAAUACGCCGCAAGGCGGGUGACGGUACCUCCAAAGGAAGCACCGGCUAACUCCGUGCCAGCAGCCGCGGUAAUACGGAGGGUGCGAGCGUUGUCCGGAAUCACUGGGCGUANAAGGGCGCGUAGGCGGCCUGCAUAAGUAGGGGGUGAAAUCUUGCGGCUUAACCGCAAGGCUGCCUUCUAAACUGUCAGGCUCGAGCACAGGUAGAGGCAGGUGGAAUUCCCGGUGUAGCGGUGGAAUGCGUAAGAUCGGGAAGACAUCAGUGGCGAAGCGGCUGCUGGCUGUUGCUGACGCUGAGGCGCA